rnacentral:tRNA from 1 species
GCUGCGAUGGCCGAGUGGUUAAGGCGUUGGACUCGAAAUCCAAUGGGAUAUUCCCGCACAGGUUUGAACCCGGUUCGCAGCG